rnacentral:misc_RNA from 1 species
AUUGCACACUAUUUGAUGUAGUUUUCAAUUUUUUAACCUCUUUGUUUACCUUAUACCAUAUUGCUUUCACUGGACAGGUUGAGACUUGUGUGUUUGACUAUGCAUAUCAGCCCCUUAGCUUGAUAUCCUCUUUCCAGGUAUUAGCUGAGGAGUUUCCAGUGGAUGAAGAAAAUAAAAAAAACAAAAAACAUAAAGACUUGUCUGAUUUUGGCUUGAACAAAAAAGAAUAAUA